rnacentral:rRNA from 1 species
ACGAGUGGCGAACGGGUGAGUAACACGUGGGUGACCUGCCCUGCACUUCGGGAUAAGCCUGGGAAACUGGGUCUAAUACCGGAUAGGACCGCACCGUGAGGGUGUGGUGGAAAGUUUUUUCGGUGUGGGAUGGGCCCGCGGCCUAUCAGCUUGUUGGUGGGGUAAUGGCCUACCAAGGCGGCGACGGGUAGCCGGCCUGAGAGGGUGGACGGCCACAUUGGGACUGAGACACGGCCCAGACUCCUACGGGAGGCAGCAGUGGGGAAUAUUGCACAAUGGGCGGAAGCCUGAUGCAGCGACGCCGCGUGGGGGAUGACGGCCUUCGGGUUGUAAACUCCUUUCACCAUCGACGAAGGGUUUCUGACGGUAGAUGGAGAAGAAGCACCGGCUAACUACGUGCCAGCAGCCGCGGUAAUACGUAGGGUGCGAGCGUUGUCCGGAAUUACUGGGCGUAAAGAGCUCGUAGGUGGUUUGUCGCGUCGUCUGUGAAAUUCCGGGGCUUAACUCCGGGCGUGCAGGCGAUACGGGCAUAACUUGAGUACUGUAGGGGAGACUGGAAUUCCUGGUGUAGCGGUGAAAUGCGCAGAUAUCAGGAGGAACACCGGUGGCGAAGGCGGGUCUCUGGGCAGUAACUGACGCUGAGGAGCGAAAGCAUGGGGAGCGAACAGGAUUAGAUACCCUGGUAGUCCAUGCCGUAAACGGUGGGCGCUAGGUGUGGGUUUCCUUCCACGGGAUCCGUGCCGUAGCUAACGCAUUAAGCGCCCCGCCUGGGGAGUACGGCCGCAAGGCUAAAACUCAAAGGAAUUGACGGGGGCCCGCACAAGCGGCGGAGCAUGUGGAUUAAUUCGAUGCAACGCGAAGAACCUUACCUGGGCUUGACAUAUACAGGAUCGCGCCAGAGAUGGUGUUUCCCUUGUGGCUUGUAUACAGGUGGUGCAUGGUUGUCGUCAGCUCGUGUCGUGAGAUGUUGGGUUAAGUCCCGCAACGAGCGCAACCCUUGUCUUAUGUUGCCAGCACGUUGUGGUGGGGACUCGUAAGAAACUGCCGGGGUUAACUCGGAGGAAGGUGGGGAUGACGUCAAAUCAUCAUGCCCCUUAUGUCCAGGGCUUCACACAUGCUACAAUGGUCGGUACAGUGGGUUGCCAGUCCGUGAGGGCGAGCUAAUCCCGCAAAGCCGGUCUCAGUUCGGAUCGGGGUCUGCAACUCGACCCCGUGAAGUCGGANUCGCUAGUAAUCGCAGAUCAGCAACGCUGCGGUGAAUACGUUCCCGGGCCUUGUACACACCGCCCGUCACGUCAUGAAAGUCGGUAACACCCGAAGCCAGUGGCCUAAC